rnacentral:rRNA from 1 species
GGGUUAAGUCCCGCAACGAGCGCAACCCUUAUCCUUUGUUGCCAGCGGUCCGGCCGGGAACUCAAAGGAGACUGCCAGUGAUAAACUGGAGGAAGGUGGGGAUGACGUCAAGUCAUCAUGGCCCUUACGACCAGGGCUACACACGUGCUACAAUGGCGCAUACAAAGAGAAGCGACCUCGCGAGAGCAAGCGGACCUCAUAAAGUGCGUCGUAGUCCGGAUUGGAGUCUGCAACUCGACUCCAUGAAGUCGGAAUCGCUAGUAAUCGUGGAUCAGAAUGCCACGGUGAAUACGUUCCCGGGCCUUGUACACACCGCCCGUCACACCAUGGGAGUGGGUUGCAAAAGAAGUAGGUAGCUUAACCUUCGGGAGGGCGCUUACCACUUUGUGAUUCAUGACUGGGGUGAAGUCGUAACAAGGUAACCGUAGGGGAACCUGCGGUUGGAUCACCUCCUU